AAUUACAUAAUGUUUGACUGUAAUAUAUCUUCCAAAUUUAUAGCUUCUAUUAUUUUAUAAAUUGCAUUUCUAUUAGUAUUUGUCAUCAAUCUAUUUGAAUAUAAUAUAGAAAUGAUCUCUUCGAAUAACUAUAGAAUGUGACUGCAGAGACGUUCAGUCAGUGAAGAGUUAAAGCCCAAAAGGAAAUCCCGCCUAUUACGAGGUUCUGAAAUGCGAUUACACCAUCGCUAUGAACACAGUCAGUCAGAGGCUUGUGUCCAGAAGACUUAUACAUAUGCGAAACUGUGCCCUCCAAGAAAUAGGAUUUUCUGGAACAUACUCCGGAUUUUAACAACAUUGCAGUGGACACCCAGUUAUGGACAGGACACCCAGUUGUAGUUCAGUGUGAAGCCGUUCGGGAUUACUGGACGAUGGCGACUCUUUGGAAUAUUUGCUGGAAGAAAGUAAUACGAACUCCAAUAAACAAGGGGGAAAGACAUCUCAAAAGAACCUGUCUCAUUUGAGCGCAUCAUCAUCUUACAUCUCACUUACAAAACCUCCAGGACCUCCGAGAGGAUGCCAACGAUUCCAGACCGGAACCACGGAAUAUAAGGCUGUUGAAAGCAAUAUUCCCUCAUGCACAAGAUUCAGUCUCAUUGAGUACACCCUAUUUGCAGUAUAUAAUAGAUCUCCAUUGUUAAUGUGAAUUAACAUAAUAUCUGCAAUUUUUAAAUGCAAGUAACCAAAAUAAAUGUAACUAUGCCACAGUAUUUUAUUUUACUUUC